GCACUAAUUGCAUUACAUGUUGCGCCCGUUAUUAGAUGCAAGUAGAUUAUAAGGGUGAAUCCACGAGGCUGGUAAGAAGAAACAGUUCAGAGUCAACAUGUCUUUUUCUAUAUGUCCUGACUGUGGAAAGAGUACACAGUUGAAGGGUUUCAAUAGAGUCUUGUUCACCUGACAGCUCUGGCAGAGCGUUAUAUAUCUGCACUCUACAACGUUGACAUCAAUCAAUUAAUAGUACACAACUUCGAGUUCCAUUCAGCAACUGAAAUUAAUUUUGUACCUGCAUCGGAAGGGAAGGAGACAGAGGAGACCACAAUAAUUUCAUUUUUAGAGCCUCUUCAAACAAGAGCAAGAAUGAAGAUUCUACCAGUAGUAUAUGAUGUCGAACUGGAUGCGUCAUUGACACGCCUCUUUAGCCAAGAUGCUUUCAACCAGGCAGUUAAGGAAUUAAAGAAUUAUUUUCACAGCUAUGAGAAGGUGCAAACAUACUUGUUUCUCUGUCUGUGUCAGAGUGUAGUAGUGCAGUGCACUGCAGUACGCAGUAAAUUAUGGUACCUUGUUUGCUAGCUACAAGAACUAUAAUAAGCUACAGUUUCUAGGUAUGCUUGUUUUACUGUGACUCUCCAUCUCAUUUGUUGGUGGCGCUGCUGAUAAGUUUCUGAUUUUCACUGAGAUUUUCUGUUGAAAGUUGGGGCAUAUGAAGCUUUAUGCCGGGAGGUGUACCAAUUAUACUGUCAUGGUGGCAACCAGUGUGAGCAAGUUCUAGAUGAUUGAUAGUGUGUGGGAAGCACUGGAGUGGGAGGCAUGAAGCCAAGCCAUCUGAUUUCUUGACUUUGUGGAUGAGGUGAACAAACAAAACUUAGUAUUUGAUAGCAGUCACUAGCUGCCUGAAUUUUGACUUGUGAUCCCCAAGUGCCAAGUUUCUGUAUUGCUUUGAGGUGCUGGCUGAAUAAUAAUGUUUGCUGAUAGGGUAUAAACAUUACAUUGUACCGGUCACUGUUCAUGAUGAGCACAUCGGAAAUGUACAUCCUGAGGGACACAUGCCUACAGUCGGUGCCAAAUAGCUGCUUGCUCAAAGAUCUAAAGAGAAAGUUUCCAUCUUCUUGAACGUUGUCUAGUCUUCGCUUCUGCUUUGCUAAGAAUUCCUCUAUAGCAACAGAUGGUGACACAAGUUUGGAGCAAUGUUUGCUCUGAUGAUUGCUUCUGGAAUUUCACUACAGUUCCGGGACAAGGCAGUAAACUUUUAUUGAGUACUCCCUGCCGUAGCAACAAAUAAGUGAAUGUGGAGUACUGUGAAUUUGUGAUUUUUGCUAUGCAAUCAUACCUCAAUCAUACAAGCAUAUGAAAUUG